rnacentral:lncRNA from 1 species
CAGAGUUUUAAUGGAGACAAGAGGCAGAGAAGAAAAACUUACUGUAAAGGUGAAGUAUGAGAAAGACAUGCAUGGAAUAAAACAGCAGUAUUUGACAAAAUACAGAAAAGACCUAAGUUCUAGCUUCAACUGCACUAGGACAAGAAGCAGAUGAACAUGUACAGCCAGUAUUGGGCCACCAUGCCCGUCCCACCUAGACUCAUACCUUGUCUCAUCCACUCGACCUCGUCCUCGGUGACAAAGCUGCACAAGGCUUUUGCCAUUGCCAGUCGUAUUGCUCCAGCCUGCGCCGACCUCCCGCCCCCUGAGACUGUGCAGGUCACGUCGUGCUUUCCCAGCCGGUCAACAAAGUGGAAAGGGAACAUCAGCUGUUC